GGGGUUUAGGGCAGGGAAGCAGCUCAGGGCCUGAGAUCCUGCUCUUGGGCGUCUUAGGAGACAGUUCAUUUUAGGAAGUCUCAAGGGCUGGUUAAAAUGAGAACUCUUGGACCAGGAGAAAUCUCCUCGAGAGAGCUGGCUGGAAACUGGGGCUUCUGGACUUGAGAUCUCUCUCCCUCCUGCAAGGCAGCUCUGUGGGUGCAGGUCCCAGGCUCUCCUUCUGCAUUUCUACACGGAGACCAAGGCUGGUCUGAAAGACUCUCCAGAAAGCUGCCCAGCCCCAGGAAGGAGAUAACAAAGAAUCUGGACUUGGCUGUUCUCCUGGUGAUUACUGAACUGAAAAGAAGGCUGCCCCAAAGAGCUUCAGAAAACUGAACUGAGAGCAUUACAGGAAAAGAAGGAAACAACAUCUGUCGCGGUUAUAAUCAACCACUUUCAACAUCCUGCAGAGGACCAAGGCCUGGCCCAAGCAGGGAGCCUGGAGCCAGAGGAAUGGACCCUGAGGCUGCAGACCCCCACCCC
rnacentral:lncRNA from 1 species